rnacentral:rRNA from 1 species
CAGCAGCCACGGUAAUACGGAGGGUGCAAGCGUUAAUCGGAAUUACUGGGCGUAAAGCGCACGCAGGCGGUCUGACAAGUCAGAUGUGAAAUCCCCGGGCUUAACCUGGGAACUGCAUUUGAAACUGUCAGGCUGGAGUCUUGUAGAGGGGGGUGGAAUUCCAGGUGUAGCGGUGAAAUGCGUAGAGAUCUGGAGGAAUACCGGUGGCGAAGGCGGCCCCCUGGACAAAGACUGACGCUCAGGUGCGAAAGCGUGGGGAGCAAACAGGAUUAGAUACCCCUGUAGUCCCUGUCUCUUAUAU